rnacentral:rRNA from 1 species
GACGUAGGAGGCGAGCGUUGUCCGGAAUUAUUGGGCGUAAAGAGCUCGUAGGCGGUCUGUCGCGUCGGCUGUGAAAUCCCGGAGCUCAACUCCGGGUCUGCAGUCGAUACGGGCAGACUGGAGUUCGGCAGGGGAGACUGGAAUUCCUGGUGUAGCGGUGAAAUGCGCAGAUAUCAGGAGGAACACCGGUGGCGAAGGCGGGUCUCUGGGCCGAUACUGACGCUGAGGAGCGAAAGCGUGGGGAGCAAACAGG